AAAGACUUGACGGUACUUCACAACAACCUAGAGGAGCCUGUCUAAUAACCGAUACUCCACGAUUAACCCAACCCACUCUAGCCUAACAGUCUAUAUACCGCCGUCGCCAGCUUACCUUGUGAAAGAAAUAAAGUAAGCAAAAUAAGCCACCAUUAACACGACAGGUCGAGGUGUAACUAAUGAGUGGGUUAAAGAUGGGCUACAUUUUCUAAUACAGAAAAUACGAACAAACUAUGAAACUAGAAACUGAAGGCGGAUUUAGCAGUAUGUUAAGAACAAAAUACUUAACUGAAACCAACGCAAUGAAGUGCGCACACACCGCCCGUCAUCCCUG
rnacentral:rRNA from 1 species